rnacentral:rRNA from 1 species
GUAGUGGGUGUAGCGUACCUACUAGCCUACAACGGGUACGGGUUGUGAGAGCAAGAGCCCGGAGAUGGAUUCUGAGACACUAAUCCAGGCCCUACGGGGGUGCAGCAGGCGCGAAAACUUUACAAUGCUGGGAACAGCGAUAAGGGAACCUCGAGUGCCAGGUUACAAAUCUGGCUGUCGUGAUGCCUAAAAAGCAUUAUAUAGCAAGGGCCGGGCAAGACCGGUGCCAGCCGCCGCGGUAACACCGGCGGCUCGAGUGGUAACCGUUAUUAUUGGGUCUAAAGGGUCUGUAGCCGGCCGGAUAAGUCUCUUGGGAAAUCUGGCAGCUUAACUGUCAGGCUUUCAGGGGAUACUGUCUGGCUCGAGGCCGGGAGAGGUGAGAGGUACUUCAGAGGAAAGGGUGAAAUCUUGUAAUCCUUGAAGGACCACCAGUGGCGAAGGCGUCUCACCAGAACGGACCUGACGGCAAGGGACGAAAGCUAGGGGCACGAACCGGAUUAGAUACCCGGGUAGUCCUAGCCGUAAACGAUACUCGCUAGGUGUCGGCCACGGUGCGACCGUUGUCGGUGCCGUAGGGAAGCCGUGAAGCGAGCCACCUGGGAAGUACGGCCGCAAGGCUGAAACUUAAAGGAAUUGGCGGGAA